CCCGAUGACAAUAGCGAAUUGGUACCACCUGAUCCCAUCUCGAACUCAGCAGUGAAACGAUUUAGCGCCGAUGGUAGUGUGGGAGUUCCCAUGUGAGAGUAGGACAUUGUCGGGC
rnacentral:rRNA from 1 species